UACGAAGGGGGCUAGCGUUGCUCGGAAUCACUGGGCGUAAAGGGUGCGUAGGCGGGUCUUUUAAGUCAGGGGUGAAAUCCUGGAGCUCAACUCCAGAACUGCCUUCGAUACUGGAGAGCUUGAGUCCGGGAGAGGUGAGUGGAACUGCGAGUGUAGAGGUGAAAUUCGUAGAUAUUCGCAAGAACACCAGUGGCGAAGGCGGCUCACUGGCCCGGUACUGACGCUGAGGUGCGAAAGCGUGGGGAGCAAACAGGG
rnacentral:rRNA from 1 species